rnacentral:lncRNA from 1 species
GUGAUAUCCACAUCAUGGGUACUACCAAGAUUUUCCUGCUCCUUCUCUCAGUGGCCCUGUUGGCCCUGAGCUCAGCUCAAGGAACACCCAAGGAAGCCCCAAGACAGCAACCUGCUGAACCUGAACCAGGGGAUUUCCUGGAUAAAAAUUUCAAGCAGCCCCAAGGCAACAAACUAGGAAAAGUAAAGACGCAGAAGAGCCAGGCGACCCACCUGAAGGAGAACCAGGCGAACCACCUGAAGGAAGGAGCCAUCUCAGACCUAGCCACAAGCCUACUCACGCCAAUAUCUUCAAGGAGCCAUCUCAGACCUAGCCACAAGCCUACUCACGCCAAUAUCUUCAAGGAGAGAAGAGAAGAAGAAAUAGGAGAACCAGGCGAACCACCUGAAGGAGAACCAGGUGCACCACCUGAAGGUAAGUAAUAUGUCUAUCUCUAAACACUCCUUUCUUUCCCCGUUCCUUGAGGACCCUAGACCUUGUCUCUCAUUUGAAACCAUUUGGCACAUCCACUCUUAAAGUUCAGUACCAAGAAAGAGAGGGUAAUAAUGAACUAAGAGGGUGGUCAGCUUAAAAGGCUUUGUUUUCUCUUGCCAUUGCAUAGCUCUCAUAUUUCCACCAGAGAUUUUUCCAGAUCAAAAAUUCAAAAUUAUUUUGCCAUCUUUUCCCAAAGCAUAGUUUGCUUUUUUCCAUUGCCUAAUAUCCUAGAUCAAACAUUUCAAGAUCACUUUGUAAUAUUUAAUGCAAUGUUCUCUUCAUGUCUCUGCAGUGUGGGUAUUUCUCUCUCUCUUUCUCUGUGUUUUCACAGUCCCUCUGUGUCUGGUCUUUCUCUGAAUUGAUAUCUUUAUCUCUCUGUCUCUGUCUCGCUUUUUCUCUGCCUUUGUCUCUCCCUCUGUCUCUCUCUCUUUCACACACACACACACACACACACACACACACCCAUACACACACACAUAUUCUCUGUAUCUCUCUCUCUCCCUUGUACUUUCACCUUUGAAAAAGUGAAAUUUCAGAAAGCAAAAGAGGAAAAGAAGGAAAUGUAAUAUUAGCAAUUCAAACAGACAAAUGCGUAUUGAAAAUAUUUGUACCUAAAACACAAAAUUAAGAAAUAUUACAUCCUGGACAUAAUUUCCCCCUUUACACAAAGGCUCUUCACUUCUUCUAAGGAAGGAGCCAUC